rnacentral:snRNA from 1 species
GUGCCACUUCAGCAGCACAUAUACUAAAAUUGGAAGAUACAGAGAAGGUUAGCAUGGCACCUGCGCAAGGAUGACACACAAAUUCGUGAAGCGUUCCAUAUUUUU